ncrna:Cupriavidus necator N-1 DTF3800-VII RNA
UGCAGGCAAGCGCGGAACUGUAGAGGUCGCCGACAGGCGGCAGCCCGUUGCGGGUGGGAUCCUCGAAUCCGGGGCCUGCAACCGU